GACGUAGGGCGCGAGCGUUGUCCGGAUUUAUUGGGCGUAAAGAGCUCGUAGGCGGUUUGUUGCGUCGGCUGUGAAAUCCCGAGGCUCAACCUCGGGUCUGCAGUCGAUACGAGCAAACUAGAGUGUUGCAGGGGAGACCGGAAUUCCUGGUGUAGCGGUGAAAUGCGCAGAUAUCAGGAGGAACACCGGUGGCGAAGGCGGGUCUCUGGGCAACAACUGACGCUGAGGAGCGAAAGCGUGGGGAGCGAACAGG
rnacentral:rRNA from 1 species